UAGGUUAGGUUAGGUUAGGUUAGGGUAAGGCAGGUUAGGUUUCCCUCUCUCUUUGGGGCUUAAGUAAUAGACACAUAUUCUCAAACACUUAAAGGCUCACACAUAGGAAUUUGAUAAUAUAAGUAUACAUAGGUUAGGUUAGGUUAGGUUAGGGUAGGGCAGGUUAGGUUUCCCUCUCUCUUUGGGGCUUAAGUAAUAGACACAUAUUCUCAAUCACUAAAGGGCUCACACAUACGAAGUUGGUCAUUCAUUUCUAGAACUUGUGGGGACUUACAUUGGUAGUUGUAUGAGUCAAGUAAUAGUUUGUCAAGACGUCUGCAUCAUGAACGCAAAAAAAACACUCACGAGAACCCGACUAACCUCCCCGGUGACCUUUAUAAAUAGUUGUGAUGGCCGGGAGCGUCUAUGAAUACGGGCUUAGUCUCGGCAGUGGUGUAUGAUUCUCUGUUGCAUACGUCAGUCGGCAGUGCAGCGUCGGGAUAAUUGGUUAACGCGCUAAACUAAUGAUAUAACUGACCUCGCUCACGACCAAACGACAUGAACGCCGAGAAUAGAAGUGCAGUAAUAGGAUGAAUGGACUCGUUGCCAAUUGUUAUUAUAUACGAAGAAGAAGAAGAAAAAUCGAUUGAGCCUUCAGAGUGAGUUCAUAGAGUUGACUUAUUUUCUUUUAUCGACCGCCUUCUUCUUCUUCCCGUCUUCCUCCUCCUCUCCUUCUUAUCUCCUUCCUCCAGCCACCCUCUCCCUCCGAAGUGUUUCCCUCCAUCACUCCAAUUCUGAAUGAGACUUCUCCUCCUCCUCCUUCUCCUCCUCCUCUUCCUCCUCAACCACUUCAUGCUUUUAGACCUUCUUCUCCACCCUCUCCUCCUCCUCCUUUUCCUUUUCCCUCUCCUCCUUCCUCGUUCUUCAUUUCCUCAUCCUUCCUCUUCCUUCUAGAUUGCUUUGUUUUGUUUCUUUCUCCAUUGCUACUGUUCUUCUACCUCUCUCUCUUUCCUCCUCCUUUUCCUUCUCUUCUUUCUUAUUCAUCUCCUCUUCCUCUUCCUCCUCUUUCUUCUCCUUCAUUUCCUCUUUCUUCCUCUUCCUUCUAGAUCCCCUUUUUAUGUUUCUAAACUUACUACUCUUCUUGAAACUCUCUCCCUUUCCUCCUCCUCCUCUUCCUCCUCCUUCUUCCUUCUCCAUUUCCUCCUCCUUCCUUUUCCUUCAAGAUCCCUCACUUUUUUUCUUCUCUCUCUAGAUUUGCUCCUUUUCCUACACCUCUCUCUCUUUCCUCCUCCUUCUUCCUUGUCCAUUUCCUCAUCCUUCUUUUCCCUUCAAGAUCCCUCACUUUUUUCUUCUCUCUCUAGGUUUGCUCCUUUUCCUACACCUCUCUCUCUUUCCUCCUCCUCCUUCUUCUCCUCCUCCUGCCCCCCUCCCCUCCCCCCCGCCUUCGUUCACUUCUCAAGGCCAGUGGAAGCAAAUGCAAACUUGAGUCGACUCGGUUCGGUCAACAUCCCGGCAAAGUGUCGGGGCCGAGGGAAUGAGCGUGAGACUCAUUUACAUAUUUUCAGCGUUGCAGGCACGUCACCUUCUGGAGGAGGAGGAGGAGGAGGAGGAGGAGGGAGGAGGAGGAGGAGGUGUAGCAAUAGAAGGAAAGGUGUAGUUUCAGAAAUUGAGGAAGUCUAGGAGGAGGAGGAGGAGGAGGUGAACGAGGAGGAAGAGGAAGAAGAAGAGGAGGAGGAGGAGGAGGAAGAGGAAGAGGAGGCGAGGGAGAGGUGUAGGUGAAGUAAGUGAGGAAGGCUAUGAGAAGAAGGAGGAGGAGGAGGAAGAAAAGGAUGAGAAAGCGAGGGAAAAGGAGAGUAUUUAAGCUCUAGACAAUCCAUAACCUAUCUAUCUACCUAUUUAUCUGUCUAUCUAUCUGUCUAUUAAUUUAGGAAGAGAGGGAAGUAUCGAAGUCUUCCCAUCAUGGCGUCCUUUCUUUCCCUUGUUUUUGCUCUUUUCUGCUCCUAUUUACUCUUCAUUCUCUUAAGUGGCGUCAGAAAUCAUUAAUUACUUGUCUGUCUCCUUCUCUCUCCCUCUUCUCUCUCUCCUUUUAAAAGCCUCGUUGUUAUGUGUUUUCUUUUCCCUUCGAAGUUUCCUUUUAAUUCCUUCUUCGGCUGCUUUUCCUUCUUUUUAUUUACUUUCAUUCCUUCCCUUCGAUAUCUUAAAAGUGUUGCUAGAAGAAAUUAUUUAACUCUCACUUUCUCUCUCUCUCUCUCUCUCUCUCUCUCUCUCUCUCUCUCUCUCUCUCUCUCUCUCUCUCUCUCUCUCUCUCUCUCUCUCUCUCUCUCUCUCUCUCUCUCUCUCUCUCUCUCUCUCUCUCUCUCUCGAAUGUUUGUCUUCCAAGUUUCUCCCAUGACAGUUUCUCUUCCUCCCUCUCUCGGCCUCUCCUCUUUUUCUCCUCCUUUUUUUUCUCUCUCCCGUCUCUCGAUCUCCUAAGUGUUGCCAGAACGAAUUAGUUUCUCUCUCUCUCUCUCUCUCUCUCUCUCUCUCUCUCUCUCUCUCUCUCUCUCUCUCUCUCUCUCUCUCUCUCUCUCUCUCUCUCUCUCUCUCUCUCUCUCUCUCUCUCUCGAAGCUCAAUUAGUUCGCGUAAAGUAUUGAUUCACUUAGAGUUUGACAAUUUCUUUUAUAUUUGAGUUCGAUGUUGCUUUACUUUUUCCAUUUUUGCUUUGUUUUUAUUUUUGAACAAACGUAACUUUAUUUCUUGUUUGUUUUUCUCUUCCUUUCAUGCGUAAGAUAUAUUAUUUUGAGUUUGAUUUUAGUUUGAUUUUUUGGUCUGUCCUUUUUAUUUCAAUUUUCAAAACAUGCAACAUAUAUAUUUUUUUCGUUUUUCUCUUCCUUUUCUGCCUAUUAUGUACUAUUUUCCUUAUUUCACACUUACAUUAUGGGAGUAUCAAAUUGACUUCUCUUUCGGCAACUCCUCUAAGCUUUUUAUUUUAUGCAGGAGCAGUGCUUAGCGGACUUGUUUCGGCUUAAUUUUUUCCCUUUGAAACGCUUCCUUUGCUGAAAAAAAAAGCAUGCUCAUUUCUUCUCUCAUUUAGUAUUUAGUAUUUGCAGUUAAGGCUUUCAUAUUAUCCUCCUACUGCAUAAUUGGUGGACAUUAAGUAUUUAUCUAAGCCAAAAAUUUUACGGUCCUAGCUUAUUUUCCAUUUUCGUAGACCUUAUCCGAUUUCUUAUUCCUCAUUUUUUAUAUUUUUCCUUCCCUGUGAUCUUGUUUUCAUAUCAUCCUACUGCAUAAUUUCUUCUCAUUGAAUAUUCAUCAAGUUUUGCAUUAUAUCUUUCUUUUUUCAUACACUUCAUCAGAUUUCUUAUUUCUUUUUUUAUCUUUUCCCCUGAUAGCAUUUUCUCAUCAUCGUUUUUGUAUAUUUUCUAACUUUUCAUUAUUUUUCCUUUAUACGAUUUUUUUUAUUAUUUCAUCACCUGCAUUUUUCCUUUACUUCUUCCUUUCGCAUUUGCCUUUACUUUAUGUUCAAUUUUCCACCUGAUUAUAUUUUCUUCUUACACUUUCUACCUACCUGCUUUCCCUUCUUUUUCUUUUCAUCUUCCUUCCCUUUUUCUCCGUUUCCACCUUCCUUCCUUCUUUUUCAAUCUUUCCCUCCUUCCUCCUUCUUUUUCACAUUGCACCUUCUUUUCCUUUUUUCAAUUUUCAUCUUUAUUCCCUUAUUUUGUUUUUAAUUUCCACUUGCUUUCCCUUCUCUUCAAUAUGGACCUUCUCUUCCUUUGUUUUUCUAUUUCCAUCAUCUUAAUUUUUCUGUUUCCACUUGCUUUCCUCUCUCAAUUUGCACCUUCUCCUCCUCCUCCUCCUUUUUCAAUAUUCACCUUAUUUUCCCUCUUUUCAAUAUCCACUUGCUCACCUUUCUUUUUUAUUUCCACCCGUUUUCCGUAAUUUUUCUGUUUCUACUUCCUUUCCCUUCGUUUUUCAAUUUUCACCUUCUAUCCCUUCCUUUUUCAAUUUUCACCUUAUUUUCCCUCUUUUCAAUAUCCACUUGCUCUCCUUUCUUUCUUUUUUAUUCCACCCGUUUUCCGUAAUUUUUCUGUUUCCACUUCCAUUCCCUUCGUUUUUCAAUCUUCAUCUUCAUUUCCUUCCUUUUUCAAUUUCCACCUGCUCUCCCUUCGUUUUUUUAUCCUCACCUGUUAUCCUUCCUGCUUCUCUUUCGCUGCCUGUCUGGAAAAUCGUGUUCCAUCCCUUUAACUGACAUGGCUUCUCGGGGCUCUUAAAGUAUCACAACGACCUCCUUCUCCUCCUCCUCCUCCUUCACUUGCUUGCUGAUCUUUCGCGUCCAUCUCCUUCUCCUCUUUCAUGCUAUCAUCCUCAACAACUAUUUUAUUAUUCUCUUUACAUCGCCUUUUUAUUAUGUUUUGCCUUCGUUGGACUGCUUUUUUCUUUUUCUUCUUUUUUCUUUUUUCUCCUUUCUCUCAACUAUACAAUUCUUUUCUCUAUAUCGUUUUCCUUUUCAACAUCUUAUUAUACGUCCGUUGUGUUUCUUCUUGCUCUUUUUCUUCUGUUUUCUUUCUCCAUUUCUCCUUUUUUAUCCUUCUUUUGUCAUCUCGUGAAAGUCUAUCUUCUUUGUAUCGUUUUAAUAUCGUAUCAGCUCCGUUUCUCUUUUCUU